rnacentral:snoRNA from 1 species
AUGCAGGAUAAGUUAUAGACCGGCUGUGGCAGUGCCGGUUUAUCGUUCCCCCUGCACAAAUAAACCUGUUUCCUUCUAUCCCUGUGUGUUUUGCAUCCCACGGCUCACAGGGACGCUUGGUCUCAGACAC